CAUGCAUGAUAGAGCCUGAAGAAUUAACAUACUGUCUAGAAUGACUACAAACUACAAAGAACAACCCAGAUACCGGACUCCAGUAGUCCAAGCACAUUGGAUAGUGUGUUUUGAGAUGUCCUUAGGAAACCUGAAAUGUGCUUCUAAACAUUCUGGAAAAAAAAAGUCUAAGAACAACUCAUAAGACAGUAGGCCCUGAAGUUGCCAUGCUGGAAAAUCAGCCAAGAACAAAAAUCCACGUAGAAUGAGAAGUGCAGCCAUUCUAGCUGUACCUGUGAAGUCCAUUUCCAAGCUGACCUGCUCAGUUGAAUGCAACACAUACGUGAGCUCAGAAUAUUAUGUAGUUACAAGAUCCUUCAAGUUUAAGCUGAACCCUAUUCUUCAGGAAUCUUCUCUUAUACCUGGCGAUGGUUCUGAGCUGCUUCUCUUUGUUUUUGUCUGUGACGCUGCACUAUGACCAUUGGACUUGCAUAUGACUUCCUUGUGGCACCUCAAAUACUUGCUAAGGGGGAUUAGAGAGAAGAUUGAAGCCAGAGAUUCUGAGGACAGAGUAGCUGUUAAAUGUUUUCACUCAUGCUUUUUUUUUUUUUAACCCGGUUUACUAUUAUCUAUUAGUAAGUGAAUUCUUUUCUGGAAAAUUCUACCAAACAUAAUCACAGUAAAUAAAGUUGCAUUAUCUCGUUAAAUUAUCA
rnacentral:lncRNA from 13 species